AACGAACGCUGGCGGCAUGCCUAACACAUGCAAGUCGAACGAGACCUUCGGGUCUAGUGGCGCACGGGUGCGUAACGCGUGGGAAUCUGCCCCUUGGUUCGGAAUAACAGCGAGAAAUUGCUGCUAAUACCGGAUAAUGACGUAAGUCCAAAGAUUUAUCGCCAAGGGAUGAGCCCGCGUAGGAUUAGCUAGUUGGUGUGGUAAAGGCGCACCAAGGCGACGAUCCUUAGCUGGUCUGAGAGGAUGAUCAGCCACACUGGGACUGAGACACGGCCCAGACUCCUACGGGAGGCAGCAGUGGGGAAUAUUGGGACAAUGGGCGAAAGCCUGAUCCAGCAAUGCCGCGUGAGUGAUGAAGGCCUUAGGGUGUAAGCUCUUUACCCGGGAUGAUAAUGACAGUACCGGGAGAAUAAGCUCCGGCUAACUCCGUGCCAGCAGCCGCGGUAAAGUGACUACUG
rnacentral:rRNA from 1 species